AGUGAACGCUGGCGGUAGGCCUAACACAUGCAAGUCGAACGGCAGCACAGUAAGAGCUUGCUCUUACGGGUGGCGAGUGGCGGACGGGUGAGGAAUACAUCGGAAUCUACUUUUUCGUGGGGGAUAACGUAGGGAAACUUACUCUAAUACCGCAUACGACCUACGGGUGAAAGCAGGGGAUCUUCGGACCUGGCGCGAUUGAAUGAGCCGAUGUCGGAUUAGCUAGUUGGGGGGGUAAAGGCCCACCAAGGGGACGAUCCGUAGCUGGUGUGAGAGGCUGGUAGGCGACACUGGAACUGGACCACGGUCCAGGGUCCUGCGGGAGGGCGCAGUGGGGAAUGUUGGGCAAUGGGGGGAAACCUUGCCCAGCCGUAGGGAGUGGGAGAAGACGGCCUUGGGUUCGUAAAGACGUUUUGUUGGGAAAAAAACGCUGCAGGUUAAUACCAAGCUGUAGUGACGGUACCCAAAGAAUAAGCACCGGCUAACUACGUG
rnacentral:rRNA from 1 species